CAGCCCAGACCUUCAAGGGGAAGCUGAGCGGAGUGGGAAGAGAGCAGAGCACUGACUGGCACUUCCCAGCCUUGCGGCUACAGGAACUCCUUGCCAGUGUGGAAUCUGGUGACUUCUGUGCCAGCGAGCAACCAGAAAAGAGAAACAAAAGUAGUGUCUGAGCAGCUAAAGAUCUAAACACCAGCUCUGUACUGGUGGAAGUCCCCCAGCCUCAGCCUUGCUCUCAGCCCUAGAAAGCUUUGCACCCACCUCCGGAUCCAAAGCAACAGAGCCGCCAACCAUGCCAGGAGGAAGAACCCACCCAGAAGCCCCUUGGGGUGGCAGUGGGGAAGGGCAAGAAAAGAUGACAUGCAAGGAAGAUUUCAGAAACCCACUGGCCAUGAGAUUUCCAGAAGUCAGG